GACUAUUACACCACAGGUGUCAUUUUAAAUGAAACUAGGGAGUGGAUCUUAAAGACGAAAUUGAAAAAAGUCAUCUUUGAGGAAUAUGAUGGGCUCAUCACUUUCGUAAAUAUCAACAACAACCACUGGAGGUUUGUGACAUUUUUUCACAAUGAGACAUACAAAUGAAAAGACAGACUGGGCGAAUAAGAACUGGACACCUGGCACAAUCACACAUCCAUUUCAGGAGGAUAGUUCCAGCUG